GACGAACGCUGGCGGCGUGCUUAACACAUGCAAGUCGAACGGAGUGGCGAACGGGUGAGUAACACGUGGGUGACCUGCCCUGCACUUCGGGAUAAGCCUGGGAAACUGGGUCUAAUACCGGAUAGUGUGGGAUGGGCCCGCGGCCUAUGAGCUUGUUGGGGGGGUAAUGGCCUACCAAGGCGGCGACGGGUAGCCGGCCUGGGAGGGUGGACGGCCACAUGGGGACUGAGACACGGCGCAGAAGCCUACGGGGGGCAGCGGUGGGAAAUAUUGCACAAUGGGCGGAAGCGUGAGGCAGCGACGCCGGGUGGGGGAUGACGGCCUUCGGGUUGUGAACGCCUUUCACCAUCGACGCGGUAGAUGGAGAAGAAGCACCGGCUAACUACGUGCCAGCAGCCGCGGUAAUAC
rnacentral:rRNA from 1 species